AUAUUAAAAAAAUAUAUUUUAUAAUUAACAAAUAUAUGUGCGGGUACCCAUGGAUACCCGCGGGUUACCCAAAAUACUCACAACUUAAUGGGUACCCACUCGUUUUUUCCGUAAUUUUUUGGGUUGGAAAGUUGGUACCCAUAUCAGCAAAUUUGCGAGUAACCCGCGGGCACCCACGGGUUUGGGUCGAGAUUGCCGGGUCUAAUCUAAUGUAAUUGGCUAAGAGUUUGAUGGUUAGCAUCCGCGAGCUCAAGAUCAAAAUCUAAUUACUUUACAUUUUUAAUUGGAUUCUUUUUUAAAAAAAACAUGACGUUUCAGAGAAAUUUUGAUUCCGAUCAUAAUUAGUUAAUUCAGAUUCGGCAAAAAUUCGGUACGAAUAUAAUACGCAUAAAAUUCGUGUUCUAAUUUUUAAAUUCAUUGAAAAAUUCUACUUAAAAAACGAAUUUGGUAUAAAAUAUAAAUUAUAAGAUAAUUUAUAUUUAAAAAUAAAAAUUAUAAAUUUUUUAUUCAUAUUUUCAAUAAUUCGGGAAUAAUUCGCGAAUAAUUCGGUUGGUCUAAAAAUUCGCGAAAAUUCGUAAACAGACCGUUUAAUUUGGAUUUUCAAUAAUUCGCGAAUAAUUCGCGAAUAAUUCGCGAAUUAACUAACUAGGAUUCCGAUUAGUCCCCC
rnacentral:lncRNA from 1 species